CACCAAGUCAGACAAAGUGACAGAUUAGUGGGCCAGUAUUGUACCUUCCAUAAUUGCUCCACCAGAAGAAAGGUCCUGUGAGCAUCUUGAUGAUGAUGCAUCAGAUUUUGG
rnacentral:miRNA from 1 species